AUUUUAAUCUAUCUUAUAAUAAAUAUAUAAUAAAAACAAUUAAAUUAAAACAUAUAAUAAAUUAGUACUAUAAAGGAACUUUUAAUAAACUAAAGUAGUGUUUUAAUCACAUACCUUGUGCAUUAUGGUUUUACAAGAUACAAAUUUAUAAAAUUUUUUUCCCGAAUUCUACGAGAGCUGUUUUAUCAUAGCUUAGAGCCCACUACUAGUUGUGGCAUCAACUUUAAAAAAUGAUAUAGCAGAGGCUACAUACCAUUCGCGCUAGAAAAUUGCUGGUUCUUGACAAAAAUUAUUAAUUAAAGCAUGAAAAAAAAAAAUUCAAUGUAAAAUUAUAGAGGAUAAGCCCUAUAAUUUAAAGCUACAUACAAAAAUUUUUAGAUUGUAGGCCUAAAACCAGCCAUUAAAAUUACUUUACCGUAAAUAACUAUAAAUAUUUAAAUAAAUUGCCCCAAUAAGUC
rnacentral:rRNA from 1 species